GAGGAAAGAGGGAGGCGUGCCUAAUACAUGCAAGUCGAGCGAACGGACGAGAAGCUUGCUUCUCUGAUGUUAGCGGCGGACGGGUGAGUAACACGUGGAUAACCUACCUAUAAGACUGGGAUAACUUCGGGAAACCGGAGCUAAUACCGGAUGAUAUUUUGAACCGCAUGGUUCAAAAGUGAAAGACGGUCUUGCUGUCACUUAUAGAUGGAUCCGCGCUGCAUUAGCUAGUUGGUAAGGUAACGGCUUACCAAGGCAACGAUGCAUAGCCGACCUGAGAGGGUGAUCCGCCACACUGGAACGGAGACACGGUCCAGACUCCUACGGGAGGCAGCAGUAGGGAAUCUUCCGCAAUGGGCGAAAGCCUGACGGAGCAACGCCGCGUGAGUGAUGAAGGUCUUCGGAUCGUAAAACUCUGUUAUUAGGGAAGAACAUAUGUGUAAGUAACUCUGCACAUCUUGACGGUACCUAAUCAGAAAGCCACGGCUAACUACGUG
rnacentral:rRNA from 1 species